rnacentral:rRNA from 1 species
GACGAACGCUGGCGGCGUGCUUAAUACAUGCAAGUCGAACGGAAAGGCCCUGCUCUUGUGGGGCGCUCGAGUGGCGAACGGGGGAGUAACACGUGAGUAACCUGCCCUUGACUUUGGGAUAACUUCAGGAAACUGGGGCUAAUACCGGAUAGGAGCUCCUGCUGCACGGGGGGGGUUGGAAAGUUCCGGCGGUUGGGGAUGGACUCGCGGCUUAUCGGCUAGUUGGUGGGGUAGUGGCUUACCAAGGCUUUGACGGGUAGCCGGCCUGGGAGGGUGGCCGGCCUCCUUGCGCCUGCGGUACGGCGCAGUCUCCUACGGGCCGCAGCAGUCGAGAACCUUACGGAGUGACCGCGCGCCUGUUGCGGCGGCGCCGCGUGCGGGAUGACGUCCUUCGAGUUGUAAACCACUUUGGCCUGUACCGUACCGUGAGUGACGGUACUGGGUAAGAAAGCACCGGCUAACUACGUG